rnacentral:rRNA from 1 species
GAUGAACGCUGGCGGCGUGCCUAAUACAUGCAAGUCGAGCGAACGGACGAGAAGCUUGCUUCUCUGACGUUAGCGGCGGACGGGAGAGUAACACGUGGAUAACCUACCUAUAAGACUGGGAUAACUUCGGGAAACCGGAGCUAAUACCGGAGAAUAUUUUGAACCGCAUGGUUCAAAAGUGAAAGACGGUCUUGCUGUCACUUAUAGAUGGAUCCGCGCUGCAUGAGCUGGUUGGUAAGGUAACGGCUUACCAAGGCAACGAUGCAUAGCCGACCGGAGAGGGUGAUCGGCCACCCUGGAACUGAGCCGCGCUCCUGACUCCUGCGGUAGGGAGCAGUAGGGAAUCUUCCGCAACGGUCGAAAGCCUGACGGAGCAACGCCGCGUGAGUGAUGAAGGUCUUCGGAUCGUAAAACUCUGUUAUUAGGGAAGAACAUAUGUGUAAGUAACUGUGCACAUCUUGACGGUACCUAGUCAGAAAGCCACGGCUAACUACGUG